UACGUAGGUGACAAGCGUUGUCCGGAUUUACUGGGCGUAAAGAGCGCGCAGGCGGUCGAUCAAGUCGAGUGUGAAAGCCCCCGGCUCAACUGGGGAGGGUCAUUCGAUACUGAUCGACUCGAAGGCAGGAGAGGGUAGUGGAAUUCCCGGUGUAGUGGUGAAAUGCGUAGAUAUCGGGAGGAACGACCAGUGGCGAAGGCGAACUACCUGGCCUGUUCUUGACGCUGAGGCGCGAAAGCUAGGGGAGCAAACGGGG
rnacentral:rRNA from 1 species